UACGUAGGUGGCAAGCGUUGUCCGGAAUUAUUGGGCGUAAAGCGCGCGCAGGUGGUUUCUUAAGUCUGAUGUGAAAGCCCACGGCUCAACCGUGGAGGGUCAUUGGAAACUGGGGAACUUGAGUGCAGAAGAGGAGAGUGGAAUUCCAAGUGUAGCGGUGAAAUGCGUAGAGAUUUGGAGGAACACCAGUGGCGAAGGCGACUUUCUGGUCUGUAACUGACACUGAGGCGCGAAAGCGUGGGGAGCAAACAGG
rnacentral:rRNA from 1 species